GAGUGAGGGAGGGGGUGAUUAGUGUCAUAGAGAGGGAGGGGGUGACUAGUGACAGAGUGAGGGAGGUGAUGAUUAGUGACAGAGGGAGGGAUGGGGUGACUAGUGACAGUCACCCCCUCCUUCACUUUGUCACUGUGUCACCCCCUCCCUCACUCUGUCAUCGUGUCACCCCCUUCCUCACUGUCACUAGUCACCCCUUCCUUCCCUCACUC